AGGCCACCCACUACAGGUCCUGGAUUCUGCCCUGAAGGCACCCGGUGGCCCACCUUCCAUAUUGUACCUGAUUGUCAGGUUUUCAAAGCACACUCGCCUGAGGGUGUUAGAAACAAGCCAGAGAAAACUAAAGCCCAGAGAAGAGCCCUAGGAUAGCCUGUCACUGGGAGAGCUGACUUUUCAAGCCUCUGUGAUUUGGUUUGGUUUGGGUUGGGUUGGGUUGCGUUUUUUCUUACCUUUCUUGCCAUAGAUCAGGGUCUCACGAACCUCUUAAGAGUCAAUGGCCCGUCCACUAUCAGUGAAGCAAUAUAUAUAUUUUUUUAUUUUGUUUAUUUGUUGUUGUUUGAGACAGAGUCUUGAUUUGUCACUCAGGCUGCAGUGCCGUGUCUCGAUCUUGGCUCACUGCAACCUCCGCCUCCCUGGUUCAAUCCAUUCUCUUGUCCCAGCCUCUCCAGUAGCUGGUAUUACAGGUGCAUACCACCACGCUCAGCUAAUUUUUUUUUUUUUUUUGUAUUUUUAAUAGAGACAAUGUUUCACCAUGUUGGCCAGGCUGGUCUCGAACUCCUGACCUCAAGUGACCCGCCCGCCUUGUCCUCGAAUAGUGCUGGGAUUACAGGUGCGACCCACCACACCCGGCUGCAAUGUUUGUUUUAAUUACUUUUGGCAAGUAUUUCCUGAGUACCCCGAGCGUGCCAGGUGAAGAGAGACGGAUAAUAACAGCGCUAGCCAGCACGUAUUAAGCCUUGCAAAGCUGCACGGGCAUGAACUUGUGGCUUCAACACAACCUUAUGAGGCCCACCACAGCUGCCAAACAUGAGGUGAUGGGACAGCCCUCGUGGCCUCCACCCACCGCCCUGGUGGAGAAGUGAAACAUGAACCCACCAGUGCAAGACAGAGGAAGAGGCACCAGCGAAGUCACACUAGGGAGAAUCCACAUCAGCCUGGCCAUGCAGGGGAGGCCUCACGAAGCCCUGGGAAGCCAGAGCAAUAAAACUCUUGUUCAAACAAACGAUUACAGUGGUAAGACACGAAAAGGAAGCUGUUCCUGCUGAUGAAGGGUGAGAAACCUGGAGCCUUCCCUCCCUCCACGCCACGUGGCAGACACCUCAGGGAAUGCUGGGUCUCAGGAGAACAUGCCGAUCCCGUUAACACACAGUCUUCAUAUGAAACCAUGUGGGAACUCAACACAUGCUGUCUCCUCUCUAACCUGAGAUCCUGGCCCUGUUCCACAAAGCGAGGCAGCCUCUUAUAUACCCCUCACAAACCAAGUACUGGGGUGGUGGCCAAAGGGGAGAGACAGGCUAGGGUGUGGGUGGGCCGAAGAAAUCUGAGAGGGACAGGAGCUGCGGUGGCCUGGUCUCUGAGCCUGCAGAGGCUCCCUUCCAGAGAGAGAGCUUGGAACUCAGUCUCUGCCUCCCUCCUUCUCUCCCUCCCUCCAGCAGAACUGCCCUGCCCCAGGGGGUUCAUACCUCGCUAGUCCCCUAGGCCUACACCUUUCCUAAUCUUAGGAGAGACAUAAGAAAAGGAAUCUCUCCCCUUCCCCGCAGAAUACUUUUUUUUUUUUUUUAAACAGGGUCUCUCUCUGUCACCUGGCUGGAGUGCAGUGGCGCAAUCAUGCUCACUGCAACUCUGCCUCCUGGGCUCAAGUGAUCCUCCCACCUCAGCCUCCCAAGUAGCUGGGACCACAGGCAUGCACCACCACGCCUGGCUAAUUUUUGUAUUUUUUGUAGAGAUGGGAUUUCGCCAUGUUGCCCAGGCUGGUCUCAAACUCCCAGCCUCAAGUGAUCCUCCCACCUAGGCCUCCCAAAGUGCUGGGAUUACAGGCAUGAGCCACCGUGCCUGGCCCACAAUACUUUGGUAUAGUUGCUUCAAGCCCAGAUUCUGGUUCUUCGCACAGUCAACCUAUAGGGUGCCCCCCCACCGCCCCCCCCAUAGUCCUUGAUAGUCAUGCUGGGUUAGUUUCUCUAACCAGAGGAUGGGCCCAUUCUUCGCUGUGAGAUGGUGUGUGGGGACAUCGGUAAGGAACAAAUAAAGACUUGGGCAAAUAACUUUAUUCUGAGGUUGGUUAUCUCAGCCACAGGCUGAGCAUCAUAGUACCUAUUCCGCAGGGCUAUUUGGAGGAUUAAAUGAGAUAAUGUGUAUCAAAGCCCAACAUGACAGGAGCUCAGCGUAGAAGCAGUUCCAUACCAGAAAAAAGGAUGGCUUUGUCCCUUAGGUGUCGUGUCACCUCAGAUAAGGCAUUUCCCCUCUUUGAACUCCAGUUUCCUCAUUUGUAAAAUGAGCAUGUUUAAAAUUUUUUUUACUUAAAAAAGGGGCAUAUUAAUAUCUACCCUUCACAGUUGCUAUAAGUAGAGGCGAUUCACAUGACGUGGUUGAUACCUGGCACAAAGAAAGUA
rnacentral:lncRNA from 1 species